UAGAGAUUCGUAUAAUUUGGUAGUACGCAAGGUUUUGAGCCUUGAGGUUUGGGUUCGUGGCCCAGAUGUCUAG
rnacentral:tRNA from 1 species